AUCCCCACUUGUAUGGGGGAGUUGUAAGGAUCAUUCAUUUGGUUCUUCUCUCUCCAAAGAGAGGGUGUGUAAGACGUUACAAGAGCGAUCUUUGCCUUAUAAUAUACCCUUCUUUUAAAAAUGUUUAUGAACGUCAAAAAAAAUGUAGGCUCGCCUUAAAAACGUGUAGCUGAAAUUUAUAAAAAUUAUACAACUUUUAACAACGGAUCUCUUGGCUCUCGCAUCGAUGAAGAACGCAGCGAAAUGCGAUAAGUAAUGUGAAUUGCAGAAUUCAGUGAAUCAUCGAAUCUUUGAACGCACCUUGCGCUCCCUGGUAUUCCGGGGAGCAUGCCUGUUUGAGUGUCAUUAAAUUCUCAACCUCGAAUCGUUUGUUUUACAGACUUUACGAGGCUUGGACUUUGGAGUGUGCCGGUCUCUAACGAGAUCGACUCCUCUUUAAAUGCAUUAGCUGGAACCUCUUGUGGACCCAGACUACGGUGUGAUAAUGAUCUACGCUGUUGGUCUUGUGAAGCAC
rnacentral:rRNA from 1 species